rnacentral:rRNA from 1 species
AUUGAACGCUGGCGGCAGGCCUAACACAUGCAAGUCGAACGAGUGGCGGACUGGUGAGUAAUGUCUGGGAAACUGCCUGAUGGAGGGGUAUAACUACUGGAAACGUUAGCUAAUACCGCAUACCAUCAGAUGUGCCCAGAUGGGAUUAGAUAUUUUGUGGGGUAACGGCUCACCAAGGCGACUAUCCCUAGCUGGUGUGAGAGGAUGACCAGCAACACUGGAACUGAGACACGGUCAAGACUCCUACUGGAGGCAGCAGUGGGGAAUAUUGCACAAUGGGCGCAAGCCUGAUGCAGCCAUGCCGCGUGUAUGAAGAAGGCCUUAGGGUUGUAAAGUACUUUCAGCGGGGAGGCGUUACCCGCAGAAGAAGCACCGGCUAACUCCGUGCCAGCAGCCGCGGUAAUUC